rnacentral:rRNA from 1 species
GACGAACGCUGGCGGCGUGCUUAACACAUGCAAGUCGAACGAUGAAGCCGGAGCUUGCUCUGGUGAAUUAGUGGCGAACGGGUGAGUAACACGUGAGUAACCUGCCCUUGACUCUGGGAUAACUGCGGGAAACUGUAGCUAAUACCGGAUACGACCCUCGGAGGCAUCUCCUGGGGGUGGAAAGAAUUUCGGUCAAGGAUGGACUCGCGGCCUAUCAGCUAGUUGGUGAGGUAAAGGCUCACCAAGGCGACGACGGGUAGCCGGCCUGAGAGGGUGACCGGCCACACUGGGACGGAGACACGGCCCAGACUCCUACGGGAGGCAGCAGUGGGGAAUAUUGCACAAUGGGCGGAAGCCUGAUGCAGCAACGCCGCGUGAGGGAUGACGGCCUUCGGGUUGUAAACCUCUUUUAGCAGGGAAGAAGCGAAAGUGACGGUACCUGCAGAAAAAGCACCGGCUAACUACGUGCCAGCCGCCGCAGUAA